rnacentral:rRNA from 1 species
UGGCGAACGGGUGAGUAACACGUGGGUGAUCUGCCCUGCACUUCGGGAUAAGCCUGGGAAACUGGGUCUAAUACCGGAUAGGACGAUGGUUUGGAUGCCAUUGUGGAAAGUUUUUCGGUGUGGGAUGAGCUCGCGGCCUAUCAGCUUGUUGGUGGGGUAAUGGCCUACCAAAGCGUCGACGGGUAGCCGGCCUGAGAGGGUGUACGGCCACAUUGGGACUGAGAUACGGCCCAG